CUAUGUCAGAUGAAAAUGAGCGAUUUACUGUUGCACCUGAGACGUCGCGACAUUUAGAAGAUACUUCAUUAUUUUAUCGACAAGAAUUUCUAACGAGUUGACCAUUUUAACUGAGGUGGUAAUUUAUGUUGUUUUCAGUAUUUACACUGAUGAAGACGUCGAGAAUGAUGCAAGUUUAGCAAUAGAGGCAACUGUUGCAGCGAUAUGUGCCACACGUGAUGGUAGCAUAGAAAUUAAUGAUUACUCAGGAUCUUCAUUGGUCAGAACCAUGGGUGAUGGUUGUAUGAAUCCAUCAGAGGAAUAUCCAUCAGGCAAAGAAAUGACUUCAGAGGAAUUAAAACAGGCGAUUGUAUCGAUGAUGUUAAGAAAAGAUGAAGUUGAAGAACGUAACAGGUUGUAUUAUCGUCCUUCGUUUAAUAUUAACAUUCCAUUCGAAUAUACACUAUUUUGCCCUGAUUUUUCCUUCGGUCAUCUUUCCUGUAGAUCGUUACAACAACAUUUGGAAAA